rnacentral:lncRNA from 1 species
CCUGGUGUCACGACAGCCAUCUAUGCCUACAGCAUUGCUGUCGGCAUAGUUGCUGACCAGAACCAAAAAAAAAGAUUAGCCAACAAGGCUAGCUAUUUACAAAUGCUUAUACAAACAUGAUUCAACAGCCAUGGAUUUGCAAACACAGACCAUAGUAUAUUUUUUAUGUACAUAACAUUUCCAUUCUAAGAAUCCACAACAACAUUAUAGGAGGCCGAGGGGCGGUGGUGGGGGAGACAAGGCUGCAACGAUGGAGGUGGCAUACAGUCAGUACAACAAACAGAAGAUCCUACAUAUGAGGAUGAAUAUGUAAUCUAUACAUUAAAUUUACCAAAAGAAAAUCACCUAGAACUAAAAAGGCAGAAAAUUAUUGCUUUUGUUAUAGAUAACUUGUCAUGUUGGUGCUUGAACCGAACAAUACUACUAAUACAUACAGUACAGAGAUGCUCCAGUUUCGGUUGUAUCUAUCAAGCAUCAGUUCUUGUUCAAGGCAAGCUUCAAAGAGAAAAAGAGUGGUGCUGAUUCAUAUGUAUAUAUGUAUAUACAGAAGAUGCAAGUGUCAUCAAGUUCGCUUUAGUCAAAGUAAAAACAAAUGGACACAUACAAAACUGAACCAAGGGUGGUGCUGAUUCAUGUGUAUGUACAGAUUGAGGUGCCAGCCAGUUGGUUUCACUCAAAGUUCAACCAAAAAAAUUGACACAUACAAAUUGAAGAAAAGUGUGGUCCUAAUUCAUAUGUAUGUAUGUACAGGAGAUGCAAGUGCCACCAAGAUAGAUAGUUUCGGUCAAAAGUAAAAAACAAUUGGAUACAUACAAACUGAAGCAAACCGUCGUGCUUUUUCAUGUGUACAUACAAAAGAUGCAAGUGGUAUCCAUAAUUUGGAUAUAGGUAGUACGCUCAUGUGGUGAAUUUUGUGAAUCUAUACUCUGCAUCUACCAAAAGGAUCACCCCCCUCACAUGCAAAUAUAAUUCAGUCCAAUGGCUUUCUUCUCCCCUCACAUGCAUAAGACGAGAGCAGACCAUCUAAACAGGCGGACCAGACCUUCACCUUGGGAGAGAGGCGAGUGCUACCUAUUGCCAUGUCGUCGUCGAGCUCGGGUGGUCCUCCUCCUCCUCCUCGAGCAGGACAAGGUUGUUUCUCCCCUACACUCCAAUGGCCAUCUUCUCCAAGGACAUCUACAAGGGCAGAACACACCAUUGAUGCAAGUGUCACCAAGAUAGUUUCAGUCAAAGUUAAAGCAAAUGUAAAUAUGCAAACUGAACCAAACCGAGGUGCAUGUUCAUAUGUGUGUGUAUGUAGAGAUGCAAGUGCAAUCUGAAUUUUGGGGAACCAAAGCAUGGUUGUUGUCGUUGUUGUUGCUACUUUAGCAGCAACAACAUCCUUGAAAUCAAACGAGGGGCAAGUUGUUUUAGCAGCAGCGCAUACUAGUAAUUAGCUAGGACCAUUAUUAUUGAACAACCAUUCAAGGACGGUGGCAGACACAUCAAUCUCACAAGGCUCUACUGGAGAAACAAAAGCAUAGGAUAUGUGAUGCUGGCAAUCUUAGCACAAGAAGAAAAAAACACAGCCUCUCCGAUAGAAUGGAUGGAUGCAUCAUGCACAAUCAUCGGUUCCAUCAUUGCAGCACUAGUUGAGCAACAAAUCAAAUAUAACAGUAGUUCCAUUCGUUCAGCCAACAAGUUAACAAAAGUUUACUUCCCACUACUAAUUUUGCAACUUGUCAUAAUAAAGAAAACAGAGCUCAAAAUCACAGCAACAAAAGCGGUAGACUGGGAGCCUGGAACCAUGCAAACCAAAUCGCAGAGCAGAAAAAUAACAGUACUACCUGGAGCAAUAAGAAACUCAACGGACUAGGGCAACAUUUGGAAGGAGACAAGCAAGUACUACAACAGCUAGCUGGGCUGAAUUGAAGAUUAACCAAAAUCAUAUCAAGUAUUUGUUGAGCAUGAUUAUACACGGGAAGGGGAAGGGGUUCACGGCAGGGACCUUUAGGUCAUGACCUGGCUUGCAUCUCUCCUCCUCAUGUGCAUUGGUUUGCAUCCAAUCCUUGCAGUCCAAUCCAUGGAAGCCCCUCCCUCCCUGCAUCUCUAGAACAACAUGACACUUAAAUUUCAUCAACUUCCAUUGCUACUGAUAAAAGAGGAGCAAGAUGUAUAUGCUGCAUAAAUCAUACAUGGAGAAGCAAGUUGCUUGA